CCUACCAUGAUGAGUAAAUUUACUUUCGUUCUUCUGAACUUGCUGAAGCCAUUUAUUGUUUCUGAGAAGG